CCUGGUUGAUUCUGCCAGUAGUCAUAUGCUUGUCUC
rnacentral:rRNA from 1 species